GCAGUGCUUCCUCAGCUGCUUACCUGUUGGAGGAACGACAGAAUAUGUCAGAAGUUUCUUGUAAAAUAUAACAGACAACAGCUCCACAGAAUGCUGCUAGACUGCAGAACAGAUGCCGAGAAACAGGAGGUUAGGAGAGCGAUCCUGAGCUGUUCCCUGAGUAACGUCAGAGAGGAGGAAGCUGAUGAAGAUGGAAGUGAUGAUGAUGGUGAUGAAGAGACCCAAAACCCCUCCUAAAAACUAAAAAGCAUGCAGUGAUCAGGGAGAUGUACUGAUAUUUAAUGUUCUUUGUAAAACUGAUAGUAAAGGGUUAAUGUACAGCCCUAACAUUUUUGAUAACACAUGAAACAUUUGUGUUUUUGUUUUCUGGAGCAUUUUGUGAUUUAUAAAUGGAGUAUAUCAUUCACAUUACUGCUAUUACUGUGUGAACUGACUAUGUAUGUGCUGUGUAAGUCACGUGUAUGUAUUUUUUU